GGCUGGUAUACCUGCUGGCCCCGCUCGGGGCGCUGCUCCUGGUGGGGCUCGUCUUCCUGUGUCGCAGGUGGCCGUUGAUGCAGAAGCUCUUCCCGCGUGUCCCUCACGUGAAAGACCCCGUCGGCGACAGCUUUCAGAACGAGAGGAUGAUGGCCUGGGACCCCGAGCAGCAGAGCCAGGAGGAGUGCCCGGUGGUCCGCGUGCAGGUG
rnacentral:lncRNA from 1 species